rnacentral:rRNA from 1 species
UGGGGAAUAUUGCACAAUGGGCGCAAGCCUGAUGCAGCCAUGCCGCGUGUAUGAAGAAGGCCUUCGGGUUGUAAAGUACUUUCAGCGGGGAGGAAGGGAGUAAAGUUAAUACCUUUGCUCAUUGACGUUACCCGCAGAAGAAGCACCGGCUAACUCCGUGCCAGCAGCCGCGGUAAUACGGAGGGUGCAAGCGUUAAUCGGAAUUACUGGGCGUAAAGCGCACGCAGGCGGCUUGUUAAGUCAGAUGUGAAAUCCCCGGGCUCAACCUGGGAACUGCAUCUGAUACUGGCAAGCUUGAGUCUCGUAGAGGGGGGUAGAAUUCCAGGUGUAGCGGUGAAAUGCGUAGAGAUCUGGAGGAAUACCGGUGGCGAAGGCGGCCCCCUGGACGAAGACUAACGCUCAGGUGCGAAAGCGUGGGGAGCAAACAGG